GCCUCAGUUUCCCCAUCUGUGAAUCGGCCAAGAACAUCUCCCCUUGGGACUGAUGGGGGAGCUGGUG
rnacentral:miRNA from 14 species